AGAGUUUGAUCCUGGCUCAAGAUGAACGCUAGCUACAGGCUUAACACAUGCAAGUCGAGGGGCAGCAUGAGCUUAGCUUGCUAGGCUUGAUGGCGACCGGCGCACGGGUGAGUAACACGUAUCCAACCUCCCGCUUACUCAGGAAUAGCCUUUCGAAAGAAAGAUUAAUGCCUGAUGGUAUCUUAAGCACACAUGUAAUUAAGAUUAAAGAUUUAUCGGUAAGCGAUGGGGAUGCGUUCCAUUAGGUAGUAGGCGGGGUAACGGCCCACCUAGCCUACGAUGGAUAGGGGUUCUGAGAGGAAGGUCCCCCACAUUGGAACUGAGACACGGUCCAAACUCCUACGGGAGGCAGCAGUGAGGAAUAUUGGUCAAUGGGCGCGAGCCUGAACCAGCCAAGUAGCGUGAAGGAUGAAGGUCCUACGGAUUGUAAACUUCUUUUAUACGGGAAUAAAGUGGCCUACGUGUAGGCUUUUGCAUGUACCGUAUGAAUAAGCAUCGGCUAACUCCGUGCCAGCAGCCGCGGUAAUACGGAGGAUGCGAGCGUUAUCCGGAUUUAUUGGGUUUAAAGGGAGCGUAGACGGGGGAUUAAGUCAGUUGUGAAAGUUUGCGGCUCAACCGUAAAAUUGCAGUUGAUACUGGUUCCCUUGAGUGCAGUUGAGGCAGGCGGAAUUCGUGGUGUAGCGGUGAAAUGCAUAGAUAUCACGAAGAACCCCGAUUGCGAAGGCAGCCUGCUAAGCUGUAACUGACGUUGAGGCUCGAAAGUGUGGGUAUCAAACAGGAUUAGAUACCCUGGUAGUCCACACGGUAA
rnacentral:rRNA from 1 species